rnacentral:lncRNA from 1 species
GCGGUGACGGUGACAACAGCCCCACGAUGACCCCGAGGGACAACACCCGGCGCUUCGCGUCACCCGCGCCGAUGUCACCCUUCGAGCGUCACCCAUUUGUCACCCGUUUCAUUGUCACCAUUUUGUCACCCCUUCAGUGUCACCCUACUACCAUCACCCGCUUGUCACCCUUUCGGUGUCACCGUUUUCCUGUCACCCAUUUCAGUGUCACCAUUUUGUCACCCCUUCAGUGUCACCCUUCUACCGUCACCCGCUUGUCACCCUUUCGGUGUCACCAUUUUGUCACCCGUUUCGCGACCACCAUUUUGUCACCAUUUUGGUGUCACCAUUUUGUCACCCUUUCCGUGUCACCCUUUCAGUGUCACCCAUUUGUCACCAUUUUGUCACCCCUUCCAUGUCAC